GAAAUUCGGAUUAAUACCCCAUGUGAUCGAAAGAUUAAAGGCGGCGCAAGCUGUCGCUUCGGGAUGGGCUCGCGGCCUAUCAGCUAGUUGGCGGGGUAACGGCCCACCAAGGCGAUGACGGGUAGCUGAUCUGAGAGGAUGAUCAGUCACACUGGAACUGAGACACGGUCCAGACACCUACGGGUGGCAGCAGUCGAGAAUCAUUCGCAAUGGGCGAAAGCCUGACGGUGCGACGCCGCGUGGAGGAUGAAGGCCCUAGGGUCGUAAACUCCUGUCAUCAGGGAGUAAAGACUCGCGUAGUCACUGACGCGGGUCCUGAUAGUACCUGA
rnacentral:rRNA from 1 species